AACGCACGAGACCUGCGGACCUGCGGAAGGAUCAUUAUUGAUUCAUGGGGAAAGGGAUGUGCUGGCAAAGCUUUCUUUGUAUUUGUGCACUUCCUUUACCCUUCUUUGAAUUUGUCCCUGUGCACCUUUUGUAGACGAGGAAGUUCCUUGUCUAUGUCUUUUAUUGCAACCCCAUAUGUAAACUAUUGCAACCAGUUGUUUAUAUAAAUCAUACAACUUUUAGCAACGGAUCUCUAGAUC
rnacentral:misc_RNA from 1 species